rnacentral:rRNA from 1 species
UACGUAGGGGGCGAGCGUUGUCCGAAGUUACUGGGCGUAAAGCGCGCGUAGGCGGUCUCUUAAGUCCGGGGUGAAAGGUUCAGCGCUCAACGCGAACAGUGCCCUGGAGACUGGGGGACUUGAGUGUGGGAGGGGGCAGUGGAAUUCCUGGUGUAGCGGUGAAAUGCGUAGAGAUGUGGAGGAACACCGAUGGCGAAGGCAGCCUUCUGGGCCAAUACUGACGCUCAUGCACGAAAGCGUGGGGAGCAAACAGG